GUCAGUUCUCAUACGAAUGAGCUCCAUGGGAUUCCUAUCUGGGGUAUAGUGCAGUCAGGUACAACUACCGAAUACCGGGCCGUUCGUGUACUUCCACCGAACAAGAAGGGAGGUCGGCGGCUUCAGCGGUGUUCGCGCCAAACUGUGUCCGUUUUUAGUUCCAUGAAUUAAGCGUCGAACACCGCUGUGCGUUAGCGUGUUUAAAAUGGCCGCGACCUCGUG